UUCUUCACACUCGGUUUACCAGUAUCCUUUAUUUGAGUAAAUUCAAUAUCUUCAACACCUUUUGUUGGUUAGUCAUGAAAAACGAAAGUGGAUUGUUACACUUA